CCUACGGGCGGCAGCAGUGGGGAAUAUUGGACAAUGGGCGAAAGCCUGAUCCAGCCAUGCCGCGUGUGUGAAGAAGGCCUUCGGGUUGUAAAGCACUUUCAGUGGGGAAGAAAGCCUUGGGGCUAAUACCCUCGAGGAAGGACAUCACCCACAGAAGAAGCACCGGCUAACUCCGUGCCAGCAGCCGCGGUAAUACGGAGGGUGCGAGCGUUAAUCGGAAUUACUGGGCGUAAAGCGCGCGUAGGCGGUCUGAUAAGCCGGUUGUGAAAGCCCCGGGCUCAACCUGGGAACGGCAUCCGGAACUGUCAGGCUAGAGUGCAGGAGAGGAAGGUAGAAUUCCCGGUGUAGCGGUGAAAUGCGUAGAGAUCGGGAGGAAUACCAGUAGCGAAGGCGGCCUUCUGGACUGACACUGACGCUGAGGUGCGAAAGCGUGGGUAGCAAACAGGAUUAGAUACCCGUGUAGUC
rnacentral:rRNA from 1 species